rnacentral:lncRNA from 10 species
CUUUCUCGCGUCCGCAGUGUCCCUGAGGGUCCGCGUCUACACGCGGCUGUGAGGAAGGAAGGCGCGUGCCGCGUGGGACGGGCUCCACCUGCCUGCGGACAGAUGGAGGGUCACUUUGUUCCGAGAAGACCCAGACACCCGAGGGAGGAUGUGAAACGGAACGACCCGUUUCGGUGCGGUUGGCUUUGUUUAUUUGCCUACUCCCCAGACGCCUCCAGCCUCUGAUUCCGGCACACCCUGUGAGGAAGCAAACGGCUGCCUCCCCCACUGCCACCAGACGAGGUCGCCUGCCCCGAGCCGGACAGGCUGGACAGGCUGCGCACCUGCGGCGGCCGACUAUUUCGUGGGCCUUGUACGCCACCUUGCAGAAGGGAAGCUGUGAGGUUUUGGCGAUAGAAGCGCAUUUACUUGUGUUUUAAAGCCCACAAACGCCGUAGUGACUAACUUAUUCAUUCAGCAAAUGUCUGUCAGAGCGUCUAUUACGUACCAGGCAUGUAGCCUGAACUUCACGCCUGUCCUCAUGGAGCUUGCAGAGCACCUCUGAAAUACACACCACAUACGGAAUGGCCAUAUUUUCUGGGUUGUAAAAUACUUUGAAUUGUAACUCCAUAUAUUGAAUAGAUUUUCAGUAGUGAGGGAAGAAACAAUACAUUUAGUUCAUAUAAUCCAUAUGUACGAAAAAGAAGUGCUGGUAAUUCCAGACAUGGAAGUCAGUAAAACUAGGAGCUAAGAGGUAAUAAUCAUAGACAUUAUGAUUCUAAGCCUUUGUUAAACGGUUCUAAACCAGACUGGGUAAGCGCACCAGCAAUGAAUAGAUUAAGGGUGUUAUCUCCUUAGCAGCUUAUUUCAAAUUGCAUCAAGGCAGGGCCAUUAAACUAAGAGUAAUAACAGGAUGGAGAUGGAGUUUCAUGACAAAAAUGAAGGUGAAUAUGAUGUGGAAAAUACAAAGAUGGAAGCAACAAGCUAAGGAUGCUGGGGCAGAAAGAUGGAACCUGGGUUACUCAUGACAUCUUGAAACUGCUGCAGCCAUCCUAGACUGGCUGCCUCUAGACUUAAUAUGUUUAGAAAGUAAAUCCCAAUUUUAUUAAACUGUUAUCUGUUAUGUAUAUAUGAACACAUUCUUAGCUAAUAAACUAUCAUGUCUCCUAACUAGUCUUCUAGGCUCUACCAGUUAGAUAGUAAUGUGAGUUGGUAUGUCAGAAAUACAAGAGCUGUCACAAAGCAAUACAACUCCUAUAACAUUUCCUGAUAAUUCUGUAAAUAUACCAAAUCAUUGUAAGAUUAAGAAACAUGUUAAUUAAAAACAGGAAGUAGAAGAAAUAACGAUGCCCAUAGUUGAACAUUUUAAAGUCUCAUUUUGGCCACGCAGUGGCUCAUGCCUGUAAUCCCAGCACUUCGGGAGGCUAAGGCAGGAGGAUCAGUUGAGAGCAGGAGUUUAAGAGCAGCCUGGCCAGCAUGGUGAGACCCCUAUCUCUACGGAAAAAAAAUUUUAAUUAGCUGGGCACGGUGGCAUGCAUCUCUAGUCCCUGCUACUCGGAAGCUGAGGCAGGAGGAUUGCUUGAGCCCAAGAGGUCAAGGCUGCGGUGAGCUAUGGUCACACUAUUGCACUCCAGCCUGGGCAACAGAACAGGACCCUGUCUAAAUCUCAUUUUAACACUUUGAUAUAGUUAUAAUCUGUCUUAUUUAUUCAAGGUAUUUUUCUAUAUUAUUUUACCUAACAUUAUAUCAUAAACAGCUUUCCAUGUUAAUAUUGUCUUUUAAACAAAUAGCUCUUCAAUAUUCCAAGUAAUUAUAGUAUUUUUUGCUUAUUUAGUUCAUUCUAAUUGCACAUGUUCACUUUUUUUCAUAACUUAUUCACUGCGUAUCUACUACAUUCUAGUAACUGGACUAAAUAUUAUAAGUACACAUAGAUGAAUAAGAUGUGGCUCCUCCCUGAGCACUCUUCAAAACUACAAAAGACACAUGUACAUGCAAUAUAUAUGUAUAUAUGGCGUAUGUGUGUGUAUACUUUUUAUAUGUGACUCUAAGCUAUUUAAUAAGCUAUUUAAUUAUCUUUAUUUUUUUAAUUUCUUUUUUUUGAGACAGGAUCUCACUCUGUCCCCUAGGCUGGAGUGCAGUGGCGUAAUCUUGACUGCAACUUCUGCUUCCAGGUUCAAGUGAUUCUCCUGCGUCAGCCACCUGAGUAGCUUGGAUUACAUGUGUGGGCCACUGCGCUCAGCUGAUUUUUGUAUUUUUAAUAGAGACAGGGUUUCACCAUGUUGGCCAGGCUGGUCUCAAACUCCUGGCUUCAAGCAAUCCACCUGCCUAGACCUCCCAAAGUGCUAGACUACAGGCAUGAGCCACUGUGCCUGGCCAAAUUAUCUUUAAAUAUGCUUAUAGAAUGGAAAUAUUUUAAUUUCCAAUUCCUUUUAUUGAUAAUUUCUGUCAUUCUUAUCUGCUGGAUUUCCCUUUAGCAUGACUGAUCAGUUAUCAGUAGAGUACUUACAAUGAACAGUUUAUUAAUAUAAAAGCCAUUCCUUCUUACUUGAAUUUCAAGUGACCCAAGGCCUCCGGUUUUCAUUUUCAUUAACAGUAAGUGCUAUCAAAUGUAAAUACCAAUAUUCUAUUGCUUUCUGUUUUCAUAAUUGUUAGUUAAUUUCCUAACAUCCUUCUUGUGGAAAGAUAAUCAUUUUUGGUUACCACAUAAGGAAACUGUGAAUAACAUGACUCAGAGCAGAAUGAAAAACCUGAGAUUUGAAAACAAAGGCUUUAGUAGCUUUGCUGUACUAAAAGACAGUAUUCCCCAUGCUGUAUAUGGGAAAUACAGCCAACUUGCAUAAAUGGCAGACUGACAACUCCUUAUCUAAGAGAGCUAAGUCCAAGCUAUAACAUUUUCUAUGAGUGUAUAUGUAAGAGUAAUUUAUUCUUUAACUCAAAAUUGCGUAUGUGCAUGAAUCUCAUAUAUCUAAAGUGAAAGAGGCUGGAUGCAGUGGCUCACACCUAUAAUCCCAGUGCUUUGGGAGGCCAAGGAAGGAGGAUUGCUUGAGGCUAGGAGUUUAUGACCAGCCUGGAAAACAGUGGGACCCCAUCUGUACCAAAUUUUUUUUUUUUGCAGGGACGGAGUCUUGCUCUGUUGCCCAGGCUGGAGUGCAGUGGCAUGAUCUCUGCUCACUGCAAGCUCUGCCUCCCGGGGUCACGCCAUUCUCCUGCCUCAGCCUCCUGAGUAUCUGGGACUACAGGUGCCUGCCACCACACCCAGUGAAUUUUUUGUAUUUUUUAGUAGAGAUGGGGUUUCACCGUGUUAGCCAGGAUGGUCUUGAUCUCCUGACCCCGUGAUCCGCCCACCUCAGCCUCCCAGGGUGCUGGGAUUACAGACGUGAGCCACCGCGCCUGGCUACCAAAAAUUUUUAAAAAGAAAUUUGCCAGGCAGGGUGGCAUGCACCUACAGUCCCAGCUACUAGGCAAUUGAGGCAGGAGGAUCACAUGAGCCAAGGAGGUGGCGGUGAGCCAUGGCCACAUUACUGCAAUCUAGCCUGGGCAACAGAGCAAGACCUUGCCUCAAUAAAUAAAUAAAUAAAUAAGCAGUCUCAUUACUGCA